UUAGUCUUGGGUUAAUUUUAUGUGAAGUUAGGGAUGCAAAUAGAUCCAGGUUGAUGGGGCUCCGGCCCUAAUCCGCCCCAAAUGGAACAAUAAGUGGAAACGAAAAAUAUAGAAAAAUAUAACCCGCCUCGAAUCCACCACAAUCCACCAAAUAAAUAGAGCAGGAGGUGGGAGAUCAUUUUCUUCCUUCAAUACAUUCCAAUUCGUUAAAAAUUCGCUCCCGCUCCGAUCCACCCCGAAUGAAGCAGUAAGUGAGAGCCAAAAAUAAAAUAAAAAAAUAAUAUGUCCUGAGUCUGCUCCGCCCUAAUAAGAAAUGGAGCAG
rnacentral:lncRNA from 1 species